GUGCCAGCAGCCGCGGUAAUACGUAGGGCGCAAGCGUUGUCCGGAAUUAUUGGGCGUAAAGAGCUCGUAGGCGGUUUGUCGCGUCUGCUGUGAAAACUGGAGGCUCAACCUCCAGCCUGCAGUGGGUACGGGCAGACUAGAGUGCGGUAGGGGAGAUUGGAAUUCCUGGUGUAGCGGUGGAAUGCGCAGAUAUCAGGAGGAACACCGAUGGCGAAGGCAGAUCUCUGGGCCGUAACUGACGCUGAGGAGCGAAAGCGUGGGGAGCAAACAGGCUUAGAUACCCUGGUAGUCCACGCCGUAAACGUUGGACUAGUGUGGGACCAUUCCACGGUCUCCGUGACGCAGCUAACGCAUUAACGUU
rnacentral:rRNA from 1 species